GUUUUAUUCAGUGAAAUUUCAAGUUGUAAACUUGAACGUUUUAGGGAAACAAAUUGACAUGAAUGAAAGCCACACAAUAAGAUAUGUUGACGAAAAAAUUUAAUUGUCGGCAGCUCUAAGUAUUAUACAGCUAGUUUGUAUUUGUAUUUGUUUUAUAAGGCAAAAGAAGACGGACGAUUUAGAAAACCUUUAAAGUAGCAGAUUUCUGUAACUUUAAAAGUCCUGAAACCACCGGUUACAGGGCGAACCUCUACCACUGUGCAACCCUCAGUAAUGUAAAAUCUAGGGUCAAUGUUACUAUGGUGGAUGUGAUCAGGAUGUGAUACAGGCAGGUCAAAUAGAAUGAGGUGAUAAAGGUUCUUUUAUUACUUCCGUAUUUUUAUAUCACUAUUAUUAUAUCACUAUUUGCUAUCAUGUUACAAACAUGCAAAGGGAGUAAGAAAUCUUGUGUUCAGGAACAGUCAACACAGAUUCUUCUUGAAACACUGCCACAAUAGAUUUUCUCAUGUUUUAAGACAAUAUAGUUGGUCAGUUAAAGAAAUUACUUUUGUCUGUCAAAAAAGUUAAAACAUUUAAAAUAAAAUCACAUUCAUGCUUUUCUUUAGUUUUUAAUUUUCAACUCUUCUGCCCAGGUCUUAGAAGUUCUAACUUCCCAAAUUCAGAUUUAUUUUUAUUUUGCUUCAACAAUUAUUUUCUUAACAAAUUAUGAUCCACGUCAUUAACCAAAGAAUCCUGGUAUAUAGUAAAUCCUGUGUUCUGUGUGACUUGUACCAGCAUGCAGAUGGGCAAGUAUUCGCUUUUUAUGUUACAGCAGUUUAAUACAGUUUGUGUCAUCAGUUGUCGUUCUUUAUUUUAUAAUUAAGUUUCUGAGCAUAACAGCCUUCCAGUGAAGUUACUGGUAACAUCUGCAGUGAUGCAGUGAUGUGAUGUCAGACAGAAAAAGGACAGUAUGAGACAAUACUGACUUGAGCAUAUUUUCAGAUCUGAAUGUGUAUUUAGAUUUAAAAAAUAACAACUCAAAAUUCUUAAACAGUUGUUUGAAUGUUUUUAUUUGCUUUAAGCUCAUUUAAAAAAAAAUGAAAGAAAAAAUUAAUUAAUCCUUCCAUUGGGCUAGAUUCUGACACCUUUUAGCCACUGUCAACACUUUAUUGGUCCACUCUGAUGUUACUGUUAAUACACAAUACAAAA